GCAUAUCAAUAAGCGGAGGAAAAAGAAACCAACAGGGAUUGCCCCAGUAACGGCGAGUGAAGCGGCAACAGCUCAAAUUUGAAAUCUGGUCCCCUUUGGGGGCCCGAGUUGUAAUUUGAAGAGGAUGCUUUUGGCGAGGCGCCUUCCGAGUGCCCUGGAACGGGACGCCACAGAGGGUGAGAGCCCCGUAUGGUAGGACGCCGAGCCUCUGUAAAGCUCCUUCGACGAGUCGAGUAGUUUGGGAAUGCUGCUCAAAAUGGGAGGUAAACCCCUUCUAAAGCUAAAUACCGGCCAGAGACCGAUAGCGCACAAGUAGAGUGAUCGAAAGAUGAAAAGCACUUUGAAAAGAGAGUUAAACAGCACGUGAAAUUGUUGAAAGGGAAGCGCUUGCGACCAGACUUGCGCCCGUCGGAUCAACCGUCCCUCGUGGGCGGCGCACUCCGGCGGGCUCAGGCCAGCAUCAGUUUUCCUGGGGGGAGAAAGGCGGUGGGAAUGUAGCUCUUCGGAGUGUUAUAGCCUGCCGCAUAAUGCCCCCGGGGGGACUGAGGACCGCGCGAAAGCAAGGAUGCUGGCGUAAUGGUUGUCAGCGACCCGUCUUGAAACACGGACCAAGGAGUCGUCCUAAUAUGCGAGUGUACGGGUGUAAAACCCCUGCGCGGAAUUAAAGUGAACGUAGGUGAGAGCUUCGGCGCAUCAUCGACCGAUCCUGAUGUUCUCGGAUGGAUUUGAGUAAGAGCAUAUUGGGCCGGACCCGAAAGAAGGUGAACUAUGCCUGUAUAGGGUGAAGCCAGAGGAAACUACUGGUGGAGGCUCGCAGCGGUUCUGACGUGCAAAUCGAUCGUCAAAUAUGGGCAUGGGGGGCGAAAGACUAAUCGAACCUUUCUAGUAGCUGGGUUUCCCGCCGAA
rnacentral:rRNA from 1 species